GUUUUAGUUUAUAAAAACUAAUACCAACUUCUUUUUUUUAAUUUUUAAAAGAAAAAAACCAAAUACAAAAAUUAUUAAACAAAAAAACGUGUAAAAAAGUUAGGACUCUAGGAACAACGGAUGUCUUGGCUCCUCACACGAUGAAGAACGUUGCAUAAUGUGAUAAGUAACUGGAGUUGCGAACAUUGUGACAAGUUAAUCUUUGAAUGCACAUUGCGCUUGCUACUAUCUUCGGGUAGUAGCUGCAUGUAUGUCACAGUACUACAUAACAUCAAAAAUUCUCACUUCUUUUCAUUAGAAUUGAGCAAAUAAUAUUUAAGCAAAAUU
rnacentral:rRNA from 1 species